rnacentral:rRNA from 1 species
CCCACCUAUACUGAGUAAUUCUAUAACACUAUAGAAAUUUUUAUGUUAAAACUAGUAACAAGAAGAAGACCCUUCUCUUAAAUGUUAGUGUAAAUCAGAAAGGACAAACCACUGAUAUUUAACAUCCUUGAACUAAAAGUAAUAACUAACCAAGAAAACUCUACCACAAUUUAUGUAAACCUAACACAAGCACAUUUUAAGAAAGAUUAAAAGAAAAAGAAGGAACUCGGCAAAUAUUAACCCCGCCUGUUUACCAAAAACAUCGCCUCUUGUACACAAUAAGAGGUCCAGCCUGCCCAGUGACUCUGUUCAACGGCCGCGGUAUCCUAACCGUGCGAAGGUAGCGUAAUCACUUGUUCUUUAAAUGAGGACUAGUAUGAAUGGCAUCACGAAGGUUACACUGUCUCCUUUUUUUAAUCAGUGAAACUAAUCUCCCCGUGAAGAAGCGGGGAUGAAACUAUAAGACGAGAAGACCCUAUGGAGCUUUAAACAACAUAGCACUUACCACACUACAUUUUUAAAUUAAACUUUUUAGGUAAUAUGACUAUAAGUUUUUGGUUGGGGUGACCACGGAGCAUAACAUAACCUCCACGUUGAAGAAAUUCUAUUUUUAACCAAGAGCCACCAAUCUAAGCAUCAAAAUCUUGACAUUCAUUGACCCAAUACUUUUGAACAACGAACCAAGUUACCCUAGGGAUAACAGCGCAAUCCACUUUAAGAGCCCAUAUCGACAAGUGGGUUUACGACCUCGAUGUUGGAUCAGGUCUCCAAGUGGUGCAGCCGCUACUAAAGGUUCGUUUGUUCAACGAUUAAAACUCCUACGUGAUCUGAGU